ensembl:lncRNA
AACGUUUCGCAACUGCAGAUCAAGUCCCACAAAGCACGACACCGCUGGAUAGCAAUCUGAGAGGAGUCUGGCCGUAAACACGGAUUCUCUGUCUCAGUCUGCAGUAUAAGGAGUUGUCUUCAAGCUAUUUAAUAGGAGAUGUUUUAGUGCUGGUAGUUAAGUGUUGGAGAGUUAUGGGUUUGCAAAGAGGUGUUGCAUGAGAACGGAAAAACGUCGUGGCCGCGGAAAGCAGAGCAGCGUGGACGAGACUGACAGAAAGCAGAGACUUCUGGAACUGAGAAAUACGCCUGACAAGACCUUCAAAAUAAAUUUAUUGACAUCUUUGUCCAGAGUGAUAAGCCCAUGGACUUGUUCUACAAAUAUAGGAAUCACAAGGUGAUUGUUGAAAGAGUAACAUGGAGCAGCCGGGGUUUGAACCGCCAACCUUGCGGUUCCCGGCGCACUCUACUGCGUCGCAUAGUCCACAGCCACAAAGUUACCGCUUACUUUAUUACCAUCGCACACACAUCUAUCUAAAAUGGACCCUUCAUAACAUUAUGCCAGACUUAAAUUAUACAACAGAAUGAAUGC